GUUGUUUGGCAGGGUGAUGCUGAUGGGUAUGAUUUAGUUGUUGUUGAUGCCAUGCAUAAAGCAACCUAUGCAAGUAGAAUUUGUCACUCGUGCCGACCUAAUUGUGAAGCAAAAGUUACUGCUGUAGAUGAUCGUUACCAGAUUGGAAUCUACACUGUACGUAAGAUUCAAUACGGUGAAGAGAUCACAUUGGACUACAACUCUAUUAAGGAGAGUAAGGAAGAAUAUGAAGCAUUAGAUUGUUUGUGCGGC